rnacentral:rRNA from 1 species
CCUGGCUCAGGAUGAACGCUAGCGGCAGGCCUAACACAUGCAAGUCGAGGGGUAAGGUUCAGCUUGCUGAAUACACGACCGGCGCACGGGUGAGUAACACGUUUGCAACCUUCCUCUAACUGGAGAAUAGCCCGAAGAAAUUCGGAUUAAUACUCCAUAAAGUCAAUUUAAGGCAUCUUUUAUUGAUUAAAGCUCCGGCGGUUAGAGAUGGGCAUGCGUGUCAUUAGCUAGUUGGUGAGGUAACGGCUCACCAAGGCCACGAUGACUAGGGGGUCUGAGAGGAUGAUCCCCCACACUGGUACUGAGACACGGACCAGACUCCUACGGGAGGCAGCAGUGAGGAAUAUUGGGCAAUGGACGCAAGUCUGACCCAGCCAUGCCGCGUGCAGGAUGACUGCCCUAUGGGUUGUAAACUGCUUUUGUUUGGGAAGAAACCCCCGAUCGUGAUCGGGGCUGACGGUACCAUACGAAUAAGCAUCGGCUAACUCCGUGCCAGCAGCCGCGGUAAUACGGAGGAUGCAAGCGUUAUCCGGAUUCAUUGGGUUUAAAGGGUGCGCAGGCGGAAUAUUAAGUCAGUGGUGAAAUCCUGCAGCUUAACUGUAGAACUGCCAUUGAUACUGAUAUUCUUGAAUAUAGUUGAGGUGGGCGGAAUGUGUAAUGUAGCGGUGAAAUGCUUAGAUAUUACACAGAACACCAAUUGCGAAGGCAGCUCACUAAACUAAUAUUGACGCUGAGGCACGAAAGCGUGGGUAGCAAACAGGAUUAGAUACCCUGGUAGUCCACGCUGUAAACUAUGAUCACUCGCUGUUGGCAAUACAUCGUCAGCGGCUGAGCGAAAGCAUUAAGUGAUCCACCUGGGGAGUACGGUCGCAAGAUUGAAACUCA